GAUGAACGCUAGCUACAGGCUUAACACAUGCAAGUCGAGGGGCAUCAGGAACAUAGCUUGCUAUGUUUGCUGGCGACCGGCGCACGGGUGCGUAACACGUAUCCAAUCUGCCCGUUACUCGGGGAUAGCCUUUCGAAAGAAAGAUUAAUACCCGAUAGUAUUAUUAAGAGGCAUCUUUUUUUAAUUAAAGAUUUAUCGGUAACGGAUGAGGAUGCGUAUGAUUAGUUAGUUGGCGGGGUAACGGCCCACCAAGACUACGAUCAUUAGGGGUUCUGAGAGGAAGGUCCCCCACACUGGAACUGAGACACGGUCCAGACUCCCACGGGAGGCAGCAGUGAGGAAUAUUGGUCAAUGGACGAGAGUCUGAACCAGCCAAGUAGCGUGAAGGAUGACUGCCCUAUGGGUUGUAAACUUCUUUUGUUUGGGAAUAAAGUUAGGUACGUGUACCUAUUUGUAUGUACCAUUCUAAUAAGCAUCGGCUAAUUCCGUGCCAGCCGCCGCCGUAAUAC
rnacentral:rRNA from 1 species